rnacentral:rRNA from 1 species
CAGUCGCCACGGUAACACGAAGGUCCCGAGCGUUGUUCGGAAUCACUGGGCGUAAAGGGAGCGUAGGCGGCGUGGUAAGUCAGAUGUGAAAUCCCGGGGCUCAACCCCGGAACUGCAUCCGAUACUGCCGUGCUAGAGGAUUGGAGAGGUAGCUGGAAUUCUUGGUGUAGCAGUGAAAUGCGUGGAGAUCAAGAGGAACACUCGUGGCGAAAGCGAGCUACUGGACAAUAUCUGACGCUGAGGCUCGAAGGCCAGGGUAGCGAAAGGGAUUAGAUACCCGCGUAGUCCCUGUCUCUUAUAC